rnacentral:rRNA from 1 species
CGACCUUACCUGGCCUUGACAUGGUAGGAACCCUUAAGAGAUUAGGGGGUGCUAGCUUGCUAGAACCUACACACAGGUGCUGCACGGCUGUCGUCAGCUCGUGUCGUGAGAUGUUGGGUUAAGUCCCGCAACGAGCGCAACCCUCGUCUUUAGUUGCUAACAGUUAGGCUGAGCACUCUAAAGAGACUGCCUCCGUAACGAGGAGGAAGGUGAGGACGACGUCAAGUCAUCAUGGCCCUUACGGCCAGGGGUACACACGUGCUACAAUGGGGCGUACAGAGAGCUGCAAUACCGCGAGGUGGAGCCAAUCUCUUAAAGCGUCUCUCAGUUCGGAUUGUUGUCUGCAACUCGAGAACAUGAAGCUGGAAUCACUAGUAAU